UGGUAUUUUGUUUUCCACUAGCAACUCAGAGACAAUGCAAAGUAUACAGUGGAAGAAAGAUAAACACAAACAAAAAUUUGCAUAUUAAUUUACCUAAUCAUAAUUACUGCUUCGAUUCAUCAGUUACCUAUCAAAUCUUCUAGAAAAUCAGAUGGAGCAGUUCAUUACUGGAUCAUUUCAUACCAGAAUUGUAAUGGCUAUUUCUUCUGCAUGUUGAUAAAACAGUUCCAUUUCCGAACAAAAAUAUCAAGAUGUUAUUUUUUUUUAAUCUUCAAGAAGUCAAAUUUUGCUAACCUAAUUUUGUUACUUGAAUAUUGAUUUUAGAAACUCGAUUUUGUUUUUCCUUAAAAAAUUAGCAAUUAUAUGAAACAGGCUUCAGAGAUGUGUUACAGUUCUGUUAUGACUGACUUGAAAAAGAUUAUUUCUUCAUGAUUUUAGACUAAUUUUGUGAGAACUUCUUCUUUUCAGGAACUUGAUUUUCUAGAAAUGAGUUGUUGUGUGAACACAGCCCCAGACAGGUCUUUGAGUUUUGUUUAAAAAGAGUGACCUGUAGAGAUUAUCUAAUCAUGAUUUCUGCCAGAAAGCGAGGUUACAUUGUUUCUCCUAACCACUAAUCUAAUCUCACAGUACAACUUAAAGCUAAGGUCAGUCAGGCAUCGGAAUUACCUUUUCAAAUUUAGAAUGAACAAUCUGACCUUCUAAGGACAAGAACAGAAGGUUAUAAGUCGGGUACGCAAGAUUUCAAACACCCCUUUAAAUUGUACAUUACAAAAGUAAGUUUUUUAUGAUAGUGCUGUUAAAAGCUCCGUUAUUAUUUUUGAAGCAUUAUUUCAAUUAUUUCAAAGGUAACUAUUUAACCUCCUGCCACCAAUCAUUGAGAUACGUUCAUGUUCAAUCAGCAACUUUUAAAUUAAUAGAAAACAGAAAUUUAUAUUUGAUAAUGCCUCUAAAUGAUUGACAACUUCCUGAGAUAAGAUAUUUUAAGAUCUUCGAUUAGAUUUUGAUUAUGAUAUUAAAGAACAUCAGAAAACAUUUAAAAAUCAAUGACUUUGUCUUGGUCUUUAAACCCCAUCUGUACUGGCUAUCUCAUUAACUCGGCUCUCAAGUAACGGUCACCGAUUAGGCAUUGUUUUCUAUAUAGAGGGAGCAGGUAGCUGCAAGUAGUACAGUGGGGCUUUAAAGAUGGCACUGUUGGUUAUCCUAAGAGGAUCCUUCCUUUAACCUUGUAGUCCAUCCUACCAUUCUUCAUAAAAGGCUCCUCAAUCUCUUCCUUAUCUUGUCACCUCAGUGAUGUCCUAUUUCAGUCUGGUAUUCUAAAUAAAAUACUUGUUAUGACUAGUGAAUCGAGAUCUCAAAUGUCCUGACUUCCUCUCAUGUCUAGUACCUAAUCAGGUAUUAUAUAACAACAAUGUGGAUGAUCUACCAGAGGUCAUCUACCAGAGGUCAUGGACGGGUCAUGGCUCAGUGGUUGAGCCACUAGUGGUCUUGUAACGGUUAGGUCCAUAGUUCAAUGCAGAGUCAGUCAAAAAGUGUUUAGUGGUGAGACAAUGUUCCUUAAUAUGCAAAUCCCACUGAUAGCUCUGCCUCCACCCCCCCCCCCCAAGUUGGCUAUCUACAAGUAUAUUAUUGCUUAAUUUGCUAUCAGGUAUUAAAUGAAAAGAAUAUCAAAAUACAACUUGAGAGCUUCUUUUGCUUCAACCUGUAUCAGUGUAUUUGAUGGUCCACAUUUAGACCCACUUUUUUGUACUUAAGUAACUCAUGCAUAAAGACCACUUGCCCAUUUAGUUUGGAGUACAAAAUAUAAGAUGAUUAACCACAGUCAUCCCAGCUGAAUGUAGCUGAAGGUUAUUGUUGCAAACAAGUGCUGCUAAUCUUCAAUAUUUACUCACUUGUUAUGACAAGAAGAUGGACAUAAUGACCAUUGAUGACCAUGGACAGUUGUACUGACCAUAGCUUCCUGUCAAGCCUGUCAAGGGAUGAACUGUAAAACUUGAAUUGAAGGUGACCAACGUCCACAAUCAUUACCUAAACUCAACAGAUUUCUUGUUCUCUCAAACCAAUAGUGGAAAGGUUGCUUGUAUGAUUUAUUUGAAGUGACAUUUAUAGAGCAAGCUUACCACAGCACCAGCUCGAUCAACUUGAAAUUAACAAACCAAAAAAGUCCCCCAAAUUGAUAAUAAUAAAAACCAUCUUUUUUAAAGUUUAUGAUCGUUAUUAAAGAGUCUAGAUAGGAAUGUUUAUUAAGAGCCAAAAGGCUGGUUAGGUGUUAAGUGUAUGAGUUAAUGCCCUUCUGGCUCACAACAGAUAAUACAUGCUUUGGGGUCUUUGAUGUUUGUAACAUGAAAUAAGCUGGUUUAGAAUGAUACUGUUAUCAUUUUCACUAUCAUCUCUUUCCCCUAACCAUCGGAAAGAGGAAAAGCAAUAUUUGUUCAGCACAUUAUGGUUAUGUAACUUGGUACCAUAUUUUUCCAGAUGUAUCUGCACGAGCAGUUUCUACACCUUGCCUUCGUUUUGAAAAAAAACCCUGUGUUGAACAGAAAGAACUGAUAGUUGCAUUUUGUUAAAUAGAAUAUUCUUGAAAAGAAAUUCAAUACAUUUACAUGAACAAUGUUUAUGUGUUGACAAAACCAUGCAUUUCUUAUGGCUAAAUCUACACAGCAUUGUCAUCCUUUCAAAUACUGCUACUUUCUGCCUUCUGAUUUGUUUGACAAAAUGCAAGCUUUAAUGAAACCCUUUGAGAAGAGUAUUUUCAACAGCUUUGUAUGAAAGUGAAGGAAAAACAAUAUGUGUUUCUAUUGUAUUCAAUUUCUUUGAAAAGGCCUUGUGAGAUUGCAUGGCCUAUGGGAGCACAUGUAGGGUAUGUUCUGGAAAAGAUUUUUGACAAAUUGUUCUAGUUGAGAAGAUAGUUUAAUUUAAAAGGGCCUGCCAGGCUAUUGAUGUAUUCUAAGAGCAUUUUAUGAGAAUUGAUUGAACAAUAUUUACUCUCUUUACUUUCUUCUGUUUGAAAAAAAAGAAACAAAAAUGUCAGUAUUUUUCUCUCAGUGUGUUUAGAAUUUGAAGGUUCUGCCUUUGGGGUAUAGGAUGUUAUUGUCUACACACGAUGUAGAUUGCCUUUGAGAUUGAUAGUAGAAUGAGGGUUCACAUACAAAGUCAAUAUUGGAAAUGGUGCCAGUUGCAGUAAUUGAUGUCAUUUCUUUGUAGACUCCUGAGUAAUUACCAAUAAUUGAUUCUAUUCUUCCCUUGUCUGUAGGUUGGUUGAGAGCAUUGUGUCUCCAAGUUGAUAAUAGCAAAGACACAAAUCCUAAUUGCCUUUAAGGUUAAACCUUGGGUUGAUUUGAGAGACAGUUGUUACAGUUUUCUAAUUAUCCAUUCAUCACUGCUUGCUUUUCUUGCUCUAGUUCAUUUUGCAAAUUGUAGCUUUGUGCAUUAAUUCAGAGAACCAUACAAUUAAUGUACAUGCAUUACAUAAAUGUUAUGCUUGCUUUACUUUUUACAGAUAUAUGUGUUUAAAGAAUUACUUUCAAAGGGGUUCGAUAAUUGUUUUGGUAAGCCGCCAAGCCAUUUUCCAAGUUAGUUUGAUUUAAUGUAAAUUAGUAAAAUACAAUCCUGCGAUGCUGCACAUCUUUUGUCUCUUAAGAGCCACAACAUGAUGCCACAAUGCAACUUUAGCAUACAGUCAAUUUCUUGUGUCAUUAAAGAGAUGAUUUUUUCUUUUCUUUACAGUGUUCAUAGAAUGACAGGCAACUGAACGGUAAAAUAUGAUAUGAAUUCAUUGUUUAGUUCCACAUUUUGACUCUUUGGUGUUUACACUUGCGGGUUUCUACAUGAAAUUUUCAUAGGAUUUGUCUAUAUCUAAAAGAGAAGCAGGAUCAAACCGUUUUUUGGGCUUACUCUGACUCUUGCCAUUAAGGAACUCAAUGAUAAAAAUGUACUUCCAAGCUUGCAGAGGCACACAUUAAUUACAUGUCUACAUUUUGCACAGACUUUCAAUUCUUUUUGUCUGGUAUAGAAGAUAAAGAAUAUAAAAUAUAACCUUUUUAGUAUGUCCACUGUGUGAUAAGUGACUUGCACCAUGUACUCAUAGGAAGACAGGGUGCUAUUUCAUUAGGGUCUGAAUUGUUAAAGACUAAUAUGCCUAAAGUAACUUGUAACCUAUCUUGUCCUAUGAAGCUUUAUGUACCAAAUUUUAAUGAUUCUUUGAGUCAUAGAUAUUUCUUCAUUUGUAUAUCAUUUUGUUUUGUUUUUAAUAAAUGGAACAUAUUAAUGUUGGUUGCCUUUUCUUAAAAAAUUGAUAAGAAAAAGAUAUUUGAUUUGAAAGUUUUUUGCAAGUAUUUUUGUCCCUAUUGUAGACGUUUAUAACGGGCAUGUAGCAAAUCAAUAUGAUGAAGACAUCAUACUGAUACACGUUAUGUCAUUUUCGUUUCAUACAAGUUUACCCAUGGUGAAUUCUUUUUUCAAUGCAAGGGGUUAUAUUGGUAUUCUGUGAUGGAUACCUAGAAAGAGAAUAAUUAGCUGAGAAAAAUCUUCUGAAGUAAUCAUAUAUUCAUGAAAUGUUAUGAUCACCUUGUUGUCUUUUAAUGUUUUGUGUUCUUCCUCACACUGGGAACAAAGUACAUUCCUUACAAAGUUAUCUGAAUAAUCAUAUUUAUAUGAGUUUGUUUUAUAUGUAGGUGAUUAAACGUACUUUGUCUUUGUUGCUCCUUAGUGUUGUGUGCUAUAGCACCCAUUCAUAGUCAUGAUAUCAAUCAUGAUUUCUGGUUGAUUGUGAUAUAGCCUAUAAGAUUUUGUAAAGAAAGAUUAGUGGAGAAUAUUUAUAUGAAGAGAUGUACAUAUAAAUGAGCGUGAUGUAUUGGAUACAAGAAGUACAAAUUGUAUGAUUAUUGUUUUCAAUUCACUAUUUUUUGUUCUUUUCAUUUUUUGUUCAUAUUAUUGAUAUAUGAUUGAUAAAUGCUUUGUCUAUAUAUAUCUUUGUCGAAAAACAAUGCAAUAAAAAAGGGACCUAGAUUACGGAAUAUUGAGUUGAAAUGUUCUUUUCUGUGGUUUCAUAAAAUCAG
rnacentral:lncRNA from 1 species